GGCGAACGCUGGCGGCGUGCUUAACACAUGCAAGUCGAACGGAAAGGCCCUGCUUUUGUGGGGUGCUCGAGUGGCGAACGGGUGAGUAACACGUGAGUAACCUGCCCUUGACUUUGGGAUAACUUCAGGAAACUGGGGCUAAUACCGGAUAGGAGCUCCUGCUGCAUGGUGGGGGUUGGAAAGUUUCGGCGGUUGGGGAUGGACUCGCGGCUUAUCAGCUUGUUGGUGGGGUAGUGGCUUACCAAGGCUUUGACGGGUAGCCGGCCUGAGAGGGUGACCGGCCACAUUGGGACUGAGAUACGGCCCAGACUCCUACGGGAGGCAGCAGUGGGGAAUAUUGCACAAUGGGCGGAAGCCUGAUGCAGCAACGCCGCGUGCGGGAUGGCGGCCUUCGGGUUGUAAACCGCUUUCGCCUGUGACGAAGCGUGAGUGACGGUAAUGGGUAAAGAAGCACCGGCUAACUACGUG
rnacentral:rRNA from 1 species